rnacentral:misc_RNA from 1 species
GAGUGUGAUGUGCGUGUGC